rnacentral:lncRNA from 1 species
AUGCAGGAGUCUUGCCCUGCCCUCGCUCCAGCGCAGUCAACUCCACAUCCUCCGAAACCUCACUGUCUUCUGAGGAUGCUACCUCCCUUGCAAACUUCACGGGUGGCCGUUUUUUAUCUCACCCCCAAGGAAGGCAUUUGGAGACAUCCAGCGUAUCUUCUCCUUGCCGACCCCAGGUCUUCUGAGCUCAUGCCAUCAGCCCACAGACUAUCCCGCCCCCCCUUAUUUACAGGGCCCAUCUCCCCACCACUACUCCUGUCAUUUUUCUUGGCAAUGAUGCAUCAAAAACCCUGGAUUCUCACUUCUGACCUCCUCUCCCCAGCCACCUUUUCACUACUCAACCAGGCACUCCCAUGGCCAUACCCUGUAUCUUGUCAUUACCAAUAUCUAAACUUCCCCCAAACCUCAAUCUCAAGCAUCCUAGAUCCUGACCACCACGUCCUACUCUCCAGCUUGUUCCCUCUGGUAUCCACGCUCUACGAGCACUUUGACCUCAACAGGACCUCAAAACUACGACACCCACUAUGUUUUCUCUAUCCAUCACCCAUUCUGUGCUCCUUUUGCUUAAAUGACAGUCACACCCUUGUAUACAUCCCCCGGCUCCUCUGUUCCUUGUACCAACCCUGCUCAAACCCAGCUUUCACCCAUCAGCUGAGUGCGGUAGAGGAAAGACACAGCAUGCUAACUCGUUUCAGUUUCAAGUUCAUGACUCACAUCCAGGAUGGGCUCUUGGUGCUGCGUGACAAUCUACCACCACAUGCCACUAAGUCCAUUCUAUCCCCUAUUCUCCUGGGAGAGCGUCUCAUGAAAGCUCUCACGCUUUCCCCUUUCUUGGCUGGUAAGUGUGCUGCUUCUUUCACAGAGAAAACAAGGACAGUCAGAGGUCACACCCACAUUCCCCUCCCAGAAUCCCCCUUGAUGGCCCUUCUCCAGAAACCCACACGGCCUUGGUCUCUGCUCAGCUGGCACAUUUUCCGAGGGGCCUCCCCCGGUUACUCUCAAAACAGCAUUCUUGAUGCCCUCAUCCGGCUUCAUCUUUCCUCACUGCACUCCUCACACGUCAUGUACUAA